UCCAACAGUCCUAAAAAAGAAAGUCUCUUAUCUCCAACGGUCCGAAGCGGAACACGACGGCCGUCACGAUCCUCGCCGCCACGGCCGGGGAGAAUCGAGGAUGUGCGGGCCGCAGGCGAGCGGCGCCACGGCUUCGUGAGUGGUGGGGGCGGAUGGACACGGACGAGCACCUCUACCUGCUGGGCUCCUGACGCUCCCCGUCUCCCGCUUCGACGCCGACAAGGUCGAUGCGCUCAAGCGCCUUCUCGCCCUCUUCCCAUAGGUUCGGUUCCUCCCGUCCUCUGACGUCAUGGAAAUUUGAAACGAUUUGCGUGCGUGCGCAGGUAGGCAAGAACGUGUGGCGGCGAUCUCAUUCCACCUCUUCACGCAGAUCACGCAGGUUGGGUUCGGCUCGCGCCUCCUCCCCUCGUCCCAUCUCAGGGCUUGGAUCCCGACGGGAUUUCGAAUUUUCGAUUGGUAUAAUAUUGCAUUGAUAACAAUAUUUGACCUAUCUUGAUAAAAACUGGUACUUGUAAUGCAAAAAUAUUUAGUUCCUUUACAUUGAAUUUAAAAGGUAAGUCAAACAUUUACCAUCCGUCUCCAUGAUAAUAUACGAUGAUAUUACGAUCGACAGUUUAUGAGAAACAGAUAAUAAAGAUAGACAAACUGAUUGAUUAUAUUACAAUAAGGUCACUCGCACUGCAUAAUAUAUAUCACAGUGCAUGAUACUACUUUAGUCCCCUUUUCCAAAAAUGAUACUACUUUAGUUACUGUAUUCACACUGCAUAGCAUCAUAUUAUCAUUUCAUUUAUCCAUUUGUAGAAUCCAAUUCCAAACAUAAAGUUGUGGAUAUGAUCUAUUUCUUAUAAAUUUUUCUCGUUUAAUGUGUUAUACUGUUCCACAAUAUGAUGCUACAAUCUUCUCUCACAUUCUUAAUUGCAAUGCCGCAUCAUCGUUUUCCUUAGGUGGCACUGCAUUGAUACCCUUUAUGAUACUUGCACCAGGACAGGUCUAAGGUACGAUUACUCAUCGGCCAGAUCCCAGACUCGUCACUGCUUCCUUCUCGAUGCUAAAAUAUUCAGCACUAACAACCGUCGAGUUGACCAUUGCCGAUCGCUGCCCAAGUAAACUUUCAUUCUCUUCAGGGUCUUGCUGCAGUUGCACCCAGGGAUGUUGCAUCACCUUCCUCAACCUAUCAAGCUUCUCCGCAACUUCCUUCAUUGAUGGCCUAUUCGUACCACACAUCUCCAAGCAUUGCUUCGCUAGCUCCGCGAUCUCUUCAAGAACCUCCAUGUUGUCUUGCUUGAUCCCAUCAUCCAAGAUCUCCUGAAGCUUAUUCUCCUUCACUGCAGACAUAAACAUCAUUGAUAGGCUCUUCUCUUGGUCAGAGGCAUCAAGACUAAAGGGCUUCUUCCCCGUGAGCAGCUCCAGAAGAACGACACCAAAGCUGUACACGUCACUCUUGUCUGUCAACUGGCAUGUUUGCAUGUACUCCGGGUCAAGGUACCCGCACGUCCCUUGUACAAGUGUGACAAAUUGUGACUCAUCGGUUGGUGCCAGGAUAGAGGCACCGAAGUCGGAGACUUUAGCCUUGUAGUCGCCAUCAAGGAGGAUAUUGGAGGACUUGACAUCACCAUGAAGGAUUGGUGUCGAAGUGGAUGAGUGAAGGUAGGAGAGCGCGUCCGCGGACUCAUGAGCGAUCCCCAAGCGAGUGGCUAAGGGGAUACGUCGGCCAUGGUUGCCGUGGAUGAGAUGGUAAAGAGUGCCGUUUGGGACGAACUCAUAAACCAACAUGGGGACUUCCACUUCGAGGCAGCAUCCCAGAAGUUUCACAAUGUUUUUGUGGUUGAUUUGGGAUAGGAUUAGCAUCUCCUUACCGAACUCCUUCUUGUGUUGCUCGUUGAUGGUCAUGCAUCUCUUGACCGCCACCUCCACGUUGCGGUUGAAAAGUCCCUUAUACACAGUCCCAUGCCCCCCAUGACCUAAGACUUGUUGUUCACUGAACUUGUUCGUGGCUUGUUGCAGUUCUUCCUCUGAGAAGAUUUUGAAUGUAAGGCCUUGCUUCGACUUCAUCUCUUCAAAUAGUAUGAGGCCACCAUGCUGCCGGAAGUAGUUCUGUUUCAUGUUCUGUAGCUUCCGUCUCUCUUGGAUGAAGCAUGCAAAGGCAAUAACAAUCACAAUGAUGACGAGCCCAACACUUGCACCUGCAUGAUUAUCAAUCCAAAUAUAGUUAUGAGUACCUUUUCAAACUAAAUUUCGGCGACUAGUGUCUUGUUUUGUUCUUUUGAAAUCAAACACAGUGGCCCACUGAAAUCUAGUACUGUUGUUGGAGUUAUGUUUUAUACCAUGGUCCAAACUCCAAACUAAGAAUUUCUUGGUCGUUCAAACUAUUUAUUUGAUUCACUUUCCCUUUAAAACUAUCAUUGGAUCAGUUUCUCCUUCAAACGAUAGUGGCUAGUUCAUUUCACUACUGAGACCAGUUUUGGACGACAUCGGUCUUGACAACCUGGAUGGUUGUUCUGCCAGUGUGACAUCCAUGUCAUCCAAAUACUGCACACACAAAAUGACAUGUGGCAGCAGCAGACACCGCUUUUCGUUGCCUGAUGCACAAUCACCUAUCAAUACCUGACCACUCCGGGGUCAACCUCAUUUUUGAAAAAAAAAAUCAGUACCUGACCACUGAUGGCGGGGCGCAAGCUCAGUGAGCUAGACAACCACUGCCACCACCAUGGUCUUCGAUGAAGAACAAGCGUCAGAGGCAGUCGUAACCAAUAUCCGAUCUUCCUAGAACUUGGAUAAUGCCUUGCGGGCAAAACCAUUGUCAAAGUCAUGAAAUCCAGCAUCCAAGAAAGGUAGGGGGUAAAGACAUAAAUAUAAGUAGUAUAGCUUUGGAGGGGAAUAUUGAACAUAUUUGAGAAAAAAAACUGCCAAAUCAAUAGUCAUUUUGGGUGGGUGGUUGGGGGGGUUGAGCUUUCCCUUUUUAGUAGUGAUGAUGUCUAUGCUCACUCAGCAAAGAGAAGAACACACCUACGACUGGCACCGCAGGAAAAUGGGGAGACUUUGGAAUUGGUACGCAGACACCAUUUGUCAUAUAGUUCCCAGGGUGGCAUGAGCAACUGUAUUUCCCCUGCGUAUUCUUGCAGAUCCCUGGGCCGCAAGGAUUAGAUUUUUCACGGCACUCGUCAAUAUCUGGGAAAGAAAUGUUUUUAGUUCAAGUAGUUAUACAAUGUGUAUACUCAUGAUCUACAUGAGAUGGUGAAAAAUGUAAGUGAGGUAGAAGGCAGGAAAACGGGAGGUACCUUGGCAUCCAGCCGUGAUGUAAGGGUUGCCUUUGUACCCAUUGGAGCACUUGCAAUGGUAACCUGGAUCGUUGGUGGUGGAAUCAACACACGCACUAUGGCUGCUGAGGCACGCAUAGGUACUCAUGUUCUUUUUAGCUGCCUUGCAAGUCCACGGUCUUAUUACCCAGUUCGCGACAAGAGGGACUCCCCCCUUGUAUGUCUCAUAGAACACUUUGGAUUUGACAUAGCUGGUGUUGAAACUGAAAGCUGCCUUAUCCAUCAGUGCCAUGUAAUUGCAAGGAUUGGCUUGCCAUAUUUGAGUAGUGUUGUAGUUUUCGUUGAAAUAGCCACGAUAAUACUGUAUGCCCUUUGGGACAUCGGCUUGACAACAGCCAGCGCCAGAGCAUUUGCCAUUCUCGAGGGUGAAAUUCUUGCAUGUGGAAUAGCAACCUAUUACGUACUGCACACAAAACAAACCAAACAAUNNNNNNNNNNNNNNNNNNNNNNNNNNNNNNNNNNNNNNNNNNNNNNNNNNNNNNNNNNNNNNNNNNNNNNNNNNNNNNNNNNNNNNNNNNNNNNNNNNNNNNNNNNNNNNNNNNNNNNNNNNNNNNNNNNNNNNNNNNNNNNNNNNNNNNNNNNNNNNNNNNNNNNNNNNNNNNNNNNNNNNNNNNNNNNNNNNNNNNNNNNNNNNNNNNNNNNNNNNNNNNNNNNNNNNNNNNNNNNNNNNNNNNNNNNNNNNNNNNNNNNNNNNNNNNNNNNNNNNNNNNNNNNNNNNNNNNNNNNNNNNNNNNUUAUACUACUAGUACUUGUAGAGAAAGUCUUGCAAAUCUAUUCACACUGGUUAAUGGUAAGAGUUUUCUCUUUCUACGACAAAUGAAUUGGAAAAGUUUAUCUAAAAUGGAUGGAGGAACAAAAAGUCACUUUUCUCUAUGCACGGUAUCGUUAACUUCAGAAAUAUUCAUCCUAGUUAUCUCCCCGCUAUUUGGAAACUUAAGAUAGCACCUAGAACUCACGCAUUUCUGUGUCUGAUCUCAAAAUAAAAUUAUGACUGGAGACAAUUUGAUGGGAGAAAACGUAUAUGGAGAAACCUAGAGGAUUUAUUCAAUGUAAUGUUCACAGCGCAUGAAUUGAUACAAUAUCUUCUCUACUGUGUUGUGGCCAAACUUCAACUUGUGUGGGAGGAAUCAGCACCAGUUCUGAAGGUUAGAAAUUAAGUUAGUUAUUUCUGAAUCUUUGCAAAGUUUUUGGGAAGGAUUGUCUUGCCAUUAAUACUGUAACUUGUAACUAAUGCAACGAUUUGAGGAUUAUUGAAUAGCAGGAACGAAAUUGUUUUAACAAAAAAGUCUGGGUUAAUAUGGAACAGUUUGUCCCCUUAAAAAAAUAUUACUAAUAAUAAUAUGUAACAGUUUGGGACAUGAUCCUGGCCUACAUCAGGAACCGGAAGGUUCCUUGCAAAGAGAAAUAAGAUGGACUUGCUGGAAAAAGUUGGGGCUCUGUUUGUAAGGAGGGUGAGAGAAUUUAACCUCUAGCUCCACCAGGGGCUGGGGGGUAGAAGUGCAAGCUGAAAAUUAAAGGUAUCUUUCAAGCCGAGUCCAGCAGAGCUUUGAUAUCAUAGAAAGGUCAGAAGAAUGCACUGGUAGGAAGAGGUAGGAAGAAUGCAUACAUGCUCACAUGAUUAACUAUCAGAUGAUAACAGGUGAAUAUAGUUCAUCAUUUUGUUAUGUAGCAUGUUCUUUGCUUGGUUAUCUGUAAUUAAAAACGGAUGUCUACUUAACUGAAAAACACUUGUAGGUUUCAUCAUCUACAUAAUGAAAAUGGAGCUAGAGAGGUUUUACUCGCUGAAAAUUAAUAGAAGUAACGGGUUCUUUUUUCCAAAUACUCCUAUUAAUGAAAGUACUUUCACCCGGUUCAGUAUAAUAAAAAUGUUGAAAUUACUCACAGAAGAGCUCCUCAUAUAAGCGAGAGCAUUGCAUCCGAUGACGAUAAUUUUGUUAUCCACUUCCGAUAUCGAGAAUGGUGUAUUGGUGAAGCUCAACCAUGCAUCAAAGUAAUUCAUACUGCGAGUAGCUGGGGAGUAGCACUGCCAGGAGAAGCUCAUUUUUAUCCGGAUCUUGUUGUCGGGGACGGAGAUAUCGGUCACCUCGAAUGGACCCGUACGAGGCUUCGUGGUGCUGUUGAUGCUCGUGCAGUCAAGGUUAAAGCCGUUGUGCAACGCACAGUGCUCACCGAUGCCGAACGGGAAUGGGAUUGCGACGUCGCCGCACUUCGCCGGGCAGCCAGGACGCUGGCCUGCCCGUACAUCGGCCGUGGCCAGCACCCAUGUCGCCGAAAGGCAGAUAAAAAGAAGCCGAGAACAACCCGGCUUCAUCCUUGCGUGAACUAGUGGGUGUGUGGCUGUUUGCCCCUGAGCUCCUUGCUGUACCAUGGCGCUACCGUGGGCUAUAAAUAGAUGAAUGAACAAAGCAACAGUAGUUCUUUCUCGUUAUUGGCUGCCUGAUUGACUACCACCUCUUAUUUUCUUUUCCUUUUUCUUUUUCUUUUUGCGUAGAGACUAGAGAGCGACUAUACCAGUUGACUAGGGUUAAGUGAUGAAGUGACACAGGCAAAGCGUAAUAGCUGCAUUAUCACCCCUGCCUAAUAUGGCCAUCUUACUUCCUGGCAUAUUUGAGACAUCAAUCCAUGUCUGAGUCUGAUUUGGCCUUCCUCAUCCGGUAGGGCCUUCAGCAAGCAGCUUCCAUGACCGCUUGUGUGGUUGAAGAUGGAAACGAGCCUGAACCGGAACCUGAUUAGGUAUGUAAUCUGUUGUUAUUGCCAUUUUCCUGUUUGUUUGUAACCUCCGUUCUUUUCUCCUCUGGAUUCGGCAACAGCAGUGACGUGUUGUGUGGUCACCCUCUUGGGGACGUUGUCGGGGAGCUCAGGUUCCUUCCGGUUACGGCACGGCGACGUCUUUGGGAGGCUUGGAUCAUUGUUUGAAGCAUCUUCGUGUGUGGCAGUCUCAUCGCCAGUAUUUUGGGAUCUUUCUGCUCGCUGACAUGGUCGACGCUCCACGUCAUGGAGCAAGAGGGCGGAGAGCCUCUUCGGUAACAGUUUGGUGUGGGCAGUGCGGCGAAGUCCGGUGGUUCCUCUACGAGACGCGAGUUCAUUCUUGGUUGGCUUCCGUGGUGCUUUUUUUUUGUGUGUGGUUCAGCCCCUCCAGUGCUCAUCCUCCCGGAUGGUGGCGUCCAAUAGUGCAUCUCUUGCUCAUUGUUUUCCGUUGCUUUCUUUGUUUAUCGGUUUUUAUUUUGAUCGGCUUUGUAAGAGUUUUUUCAACACAUUGUAUCAUUCAGCCAUGUGGCUUUAUAUAUAAAGCAGGACGAAACCAUAUUUCAAGGGUUGCAUGACGAGAUAUAUUCUUUUUACAAUGACAAUAUAGGUUUCGUUGACAUGCUAGAUUGUUGAUGAAUAUGUUUGCUAAUCUACUAAUUAGCCACACUUCCAAGUAUAUUGUUAUUAUGCAAUUUGGACAGCUUGGCGCCCGUGGAUUUCUCCAAGCACACAAAAUAGUGUUCAGCGAAAUGCUUGUGAGACUGUGAAGAAUAGCUUUUUGUUUUUGGUCGUUUUCACUAUGCCGUCGUACCCACGGUAGUGUUGAAGUCCGUCUUUGUAUCUUUCAGCAACUCUGCUACAUUUAAAUUU
rnacentral:lncRNA from 1 species